rnacentral:rRNA from 1 species
UACGUAGGGGGCAAGCGUUGUCCGGAAUCAUUGGGCGUAAAGCGCACGUAGGCGGUCCGGUAAGUCCGCUGUGAAAGUCGGGGGCUCAACCCUCGGAUGCCGGUGGAUACUGUCGGGCUUGAGUACGGAAGAGGCGAGUGGAAUUCCUGGUGUAGCGGUGAAAUGCGCAGAUAUCAGGAGGAACACCAAUUGCGAAGGCAGCUCGCUGGGACGUUACUGACGCUGAGACGCGAAAGCGUGGGGAGCAAACAGG